AGUGAACGCUGGCGGUAGGCCUAACACAUGCAAGUCGAACGGCAGCACAGUAAGAGCUUGCUCUUACGGGUGGCGAGUGGCGGACGUGUGAGGAAUACAUCGGAAUCUACUUUUUCGUGGGGGAUAACGUAGGGAAACUUAAGCUAAUACCGCAUACGACCUAUGGGUGAAAGCAGGGGUUCUUCGGACCUUGCCCGAUUGAAUGAUCCGAUGUCGGAUUAGCUAGUUGGCGGGGUAAAGGCCCACCAAGGCGACGAUCCGUAGCUGGUCUGAGAGGAUGAUCAGCCACACUGGAACUGAGACACGGUCCAGACUCCUACGGGAGGCAGCAGUGGGGAAUAUUGGACAAUGGGCGCAAGCCUGAUCCAGCCAUACCGCGUGGGUGAAGAAGGCCUUCGGGUUGUAAAGCCCUUUUGUUGGGAAAGAAAAGCAGCAGGUUAAUACCCCGCUGUUCUGACGGUACCCAAAGAAUAAGCACCGGCUAACUUCGUG
rnacentral:rRNA from 1 species